AAUAGAUACCCCGGUAGUCCACGCCGUAAACGAUGAGUGCUAGGUGUUAGGGGGGUCCAACCCCUUAGUGCUGAAGUUAACACAUUAAGCACUCCGCCUGGGGAGUACGACCGCAAGGUUGAAACUCAAAGGAAUUGACGGGGGCCCGCACAAGCAGUGGAGCAUGUGGUUUAAUUCGAAGCAACGCGAAGAACCUUACCAGGUCUUGACAUCCUCUGACAACCCUAGAGAUAGGGCGUUCCCCUUCGGGGGACAGAGUGACAGGUGGUGCAUGGUUGUCGUCAGCUCGUGUCGUGAGAUGUUGGGUUAAGUCCCGCAACGAGCGCAACCCUUGAUGUUAGUUGCCAGCAUUCAGUUGGGCACUCUAACGUGACUGCCGGUGACAAACCGGAGGAAGGUGGGGAUGACGUCAAAUCAUCAUGCCCCUUAUGACCUGGGCUACACACGUGCUACAAUGGGCGGUACAAAGGGCAGCGAAACCGCGAGGUGGAGCCAAUCCCAUAAAGCCGCUCUCAGCUCGGAUUGCAGGCUGC
rnacentral:rRNA from 1 species